rnacentral:sRNA from 1 species
GGCCGAUGCCGCGUUAAAAAACGCGAGGGGCGCUAUGCACCUCCCUGGCGGUAGUUCCUCCGACCUCAGCUGGGUCGGGUCGUGCCGCCCUCUCCCAGGAGAGACAAACAGGUGUCCCACGUGGCAGCCGCGCCCCGGGCGCCCCUCCUGUGAUCCCGUAGCGCCCCCUGGUCCAAGCCGCGCCCGCGCCUGUGAGUAGAGCCGCCCGGACACCGAGCGCUGGUCUCCGCGCUCCUCCCGUUAUCAACAUGCCCCGUUUCCUGUUGCUGGAAACCGUCUGUAUUUUCUUGUUUUCCAGAGUGCCCCCAUCUCUCCCUCUCCAGGAAGUCCAUGUAAGCAAAGAAACCAUCGGGAAGAUUUCAGCUGCCAGCAAAAUGAUGUGGUGCUCGGCUGCAGUGGACAUCAUGUUUCUGUUAGAUGGGUCUAACAGCGUCGGGAAAGGGAGCUUUGAAAGGUCCAAGCACUUUGCCAUCACAGUCUGUGACGGUCUGGACAUCAGCCCCGAGAGGGUCAGAGUGGGAGCGUUCCAGUUCAGUUCCACUCCUCAUCUGGAAUUCCCCUUGGAUUCAUUUUCAACCCAACAGGAAGUGAAGGCAAGAAUCAAGAGGAUGGUUUUCAAAGGAGGGCGCACGGAGACAGGACUUGCUCUGAAAUACCUUCUGCACAGAGGGUUCCCUGGAGGCAGAAAUGCCUCUGUGCCCCAGAUCCUCAUCAUCGUCACUGAUGGGAAGUCCCAGGGGGAUGUGACACUGCCAGCCAAGCAGCUGAAGGAAAGGGGUGUCACUGUGUUUGCUGUGGGGGUCAGGUUUCCCAGGUGGGAGGAGCUGCAUGCACUGGCCAGCGAGCCGAGAGAGCAGCACGUGCUGUUGGCUGACCAGGUGGAGGACGCCAUCAACGGCCUCUUCAGCACCCUCAGCAGCUCUGCCAUCUGCUCCAGCGCCACGCCAGACUGCAGGGUCGAGGCUCACCCCUGUGAGCGCAGGACGCUGGAGAUGGUCCGGGAGUUCGCCGGCAAUGCCCCGUGCUGGAGAGGAUCGCGGCGGGCCCGUGCGGUGCUGGCUGCACACUGUCCCUUCUACAGCUGGAAGAGAGUGUUCCUAACCCACCCUGCCACCUGCUACAGGACCACCUGCCCAGGCCCCUGUGACUCGCAGCCCUGCCAGAAUGGAGGCACGUGUGUUCCAGAAGGACUGGAUGGCUACCAGUGCCUCUGCCUGCUGGCCUUUGGAGGGGAGGCUAACUGUGCCCCGAAGCUGAGCCUGGAAUGCAGGGUCGACCUCCUCUUCCUGCUGGACAGCUCUGCGGGCACCACUCUGGACGGCUUCCUGCGGGCCAAAGCCUUCGUGAAGCGGUUUGUGCAGGCCGUGCUGAGCGAGGACUCUCGGGCCCGAGUGGGUGUGGCUGUGUAUAGCAGGGAGCUGCUGGUGGUGGUGCCUGUGGGGGAGUACCAGGAUGUGCCUGACCUGGUCAGGAGCCUCAAUGGCAUUCCCUUCCGUGGUGGCCCCACCCUGACGGGCAGUGCCUUGCGGCAGGCGGCAGACCGUGGCUUUGGGAGCGCCACCAGGACAGGCCAGGACCGGCCACGCAGAGUGGUGGUUUUGCUCACUGAGUCACGCUCCGAGGAUGAGGUUGCGGGCCCAGCGGGUCAUGCAAGAGCGCGAGAGCUGCUCCUGCUGGGUGUAGGCAGUGAGGCCGUGCGGGCAGAGCUGGAGGAGAUCACGGGCAGCCCAAAGCAUGUGAUGGUCUACGCGGACCCUCAGGAUCUGCUCAACCAAAUCCCCGAGCUGCAGGGGAAGCUAUGCAGCCGGCCGCGGCCAGGGUGCCGGACACAAGCCCUGGAUCUCAUCUUCAUGUUGGACACCUCUGCCUCAGUAGGGCCCGAGAAUUUUGCUCAGAUGCAGAGCUUUGUGAGAAGCUGUGCCCUCCAGUUUGAGGUGAACCCUGACGUGACACAGGUCGGCCUGGUGGUGUAUGGCAGCCAGGUGCAGACUGCCUUCGGGCUGGACGCAAAACCCACCCAGGCUGCGCUGCUGCGGGCCAUUAGCCAGGCCCCCUACCUAGGUGGGGUGGGCUCAGCCGGCACUGCCCUGCUGCACAUCUAUGACAAAGUGAUGACUGUCCAGAGGGGCGCCCGGCCUGGUGUCCCCAAAGCUGUGGUGGUGCUCACAGGUGGGGGAGGCGCAGAGGAUGCAGCCGUCCCUGCCCAGAAGCUGAGGAACAAUGGCAUCUCUGUCUUGGUCGUGGGCGUGGGGCCUGUCCUAAGUGAGGGUCUGCGGAGGCUUGCAGGUCCCCGGGAUUCCCUGAUCCACGUGGCAGCUUACGCCGACCUGCGGUACCACCAGGAUGUGCUCAUUGAGUGGCUGUGUGGAGGUGAGUGGGGGAAUCCACACCCUCAGGGCUGCCCCCAUGGCAGGCCCUCAGCCUGAGCCUUCGCAUACAUCAUGACGAGGAUGGCAGCUCUUCCCAGCUACUGAGCACUUGCUUCCCAAGUGCCAGGUUCUGUGCUAAAUCCUAUGCUCACAUAAAAUCCUACAGUAGGCAUAACCAUCCCCAUUUGACAUUUAAGGUAUAGAAACUUUAACUAACAUAGAUAACUCCCUCCCAAACUUGAGAAUUUAUGUAUUCCCUUUAAACAGAACACACUUUUAGAAUAUCCACAAGCUUCCUAAGGGUCUAAAGAUCCCACAUUGACACUGACUUGGGCAGUGACAGAGCCCAGAGCAAACAGGGCCAGGCCAGCCCAAAUCCAGUGACCUCCUCUUCACCUUCUUAAAAGAGACAGGAGAAUCACUUGAACCCGGGAGGUGGAGGUUGUGGUGAGCCAAGAUCGUGCCAUUGUACUCCAGCCUGGGCAGCAAGAGGAAGACUCUGCCUC